rnacentral:lncRNA from 1 species
CCGACACCUCAUCCGCCGGUGGUAGCCCUGCAAGUGCACCAGCUGGAGCUUCUACAGGUGGCAGUGCUGCUAGUUCCUCCCCUACUUCUCAGCCUACCACUCCAAGUCUUAGCGGUGAUAUCCCUAUUGAUGAUCCAUAGAAUGAUUGUCAAGGAAAUGCCGACAAAUCAUUAAACAAAUUGCCAUUUAAAAACAUGGUG